CCUGCAUAUAAAAGCGACGCACUCCGUAAGAGGACCAGCAGUCGCAGCAGUGCAAUCACGCAGACAGCAGCUAUGAAGGUCGUCGCUCUCCUGCUUGUGGUCUGCGCCUCCGUGGCCUGGGCGAAGCCUUUGUGCUUCCACGGCAUCUGCAUUCCUGACAGUCAAGCCACUGGGGGUGCUUCGGGCACCGUCACCAGUGGCGUCAGCAAUACAUCUGGUGGCUCCAGCAGGAUUACGUCAGUCGGCUCCUCUGCAGGGGGAACGGCCAGAGGACCGUGUGCAAGCAGCUUCAACAGUGGAAAAGCCACCAGCUUUAGCUCACAGACUAUUUUGGGCAAUACGGAUGCAAGCGACACCAAUGCCGUCUCAAUCCAACAAACCGGCUGCUGAAUGACCCAGUCACAGUCAUCUCGGCAUGUGUCGCAAUGGCGCACCAUGUGAAACGCUUGCUCCGUCGACAGACGUUGCGACAUCGGGCGUCAGUUGUGACAUGUGAUCGAAAUGUGCAAUACAGGCUUACCCCGCCAUGAUUGAACUCUAAUUUGUUGGCGCUGCCAGUGUCAGUUGAUGUUUCUCCGUGGGAGAGGCGCCACAAAUUUCGUGCCAACUCCGAUAGUCAUAUCUUGGAGACGCAUCUCCAUGAUAUAUUCAAACCAGUGAAACUAAAAAACAGCUCGGAUUAUGCUUCUUGUUACUGUUGGCGAGGAACACUGAAAUAAACACGACCUUUUC